rnacentral:rRNA from 1 species
GGAUUCUACGGUUGGUCGGGCUAUCCAGUCUGUACUAGCGUGUAGAAUUUCUACCUUCUGGGGAACCAUCAUGUUAUUAAUUUAGCGUGGUGGGAAACCAGGACCUUUACCUUGAAAAAAUUAGAGUGUUCAAAGCAGGCUUACGUCUGAAUACAUUAGCAUGGAAUAAUAAAAUAGGACGGUGGUCCUGUUUUGUUGGUUUCUAGAGUCGCCGUAAUGAUUAAUAGGGAUAGUUG